AUCUGGGUGGCUCAGUCGGUUGAGUGUCUGACUUCGGCUCAGGACAUGAUCUCACAGUUUGUGGGUUCAAGCCCCGCAUUGGGUU
rnacentral:tRNA from 1 species